CAGCCGCGUAAUUCCAGCUCCAAUAGCGUAUAUUAAAGUUGUUGCAGUUAAAAAGCUCGUAGUUGAAUUUCGGGAUCAGUUGAUCGGUCGUGCCUCGGUACGUACUGGUCAAAUUGAUUCCUACCUUCUGACGAACCACGAUGUCAUUAAUUUGAUGUCGCGGGAAAUCAGGACUGUUACUUUGAAAAAAUUAGAGUGUUUAAAGCAGGCUCGCGCUUGAAUACAUUAGCAUGGAAUAAUGAAAUAGGACGUUUGAUUCUAUUUUGUUGGUUUCUAGGAUCGACGUAAUGAUUAAUAGGGAUAGUUGGGGGCAUUAGUAUUCAAUUGUCAGAGGUGAAAUUCUUGGAUUUAUUGAAGACUAACUACUGCGAAAGCAUUUGCCAAGGAUGUUUUCAUUAAUCAAGAACGAAAGUUAGGGGAUCGAAGACGAUCAGAUACCGUCGUAGUCUUAACCAUAAACUAUGCCGACUAGGAAUCGGAUGAUGUUAAUUUUUUAAUGACUCAUUCGGCGCCUUACG
rnacentral:misc_RNA from 1 species